CUAUUUUGGACACGGCUCCCAACUCUCAAACUGUUCAAAAGGCCUUGUGGGAGGAUCAUUAUUGGCUUGUGUCACGUGUAGAGAUGCAGGCGAAAACGUUUAUUUUUUUGUUGUUGUGCUGCAAGUGGUGAAUGAGUCCUGGAGUCCGUGUCUAUAUAGUUCAGCCAAAAUUAUGGGCCUGCUUUGUCUUCAUCGUAGUGUCCCUACAGGGACAGAGUCUGGAAGCAGGGGCAAAUUUCACAAAAUUUUAAUUGUUGGGGCAA
rnacentral:lncRNA from 1 species